AUGGGAAGAAGUAAAAAGACUGCGAGAAGAGAUCGAGGCGGAUCGGGAUUCUUAGCGCAGAUGAUCACUGUGUUCGUUUUCACUGUUUUAUCGCUCGUCAACACCGGUUCGGCUCAAGAGAGCUUCUUGUAUUCAUUAUUUCUGCUGCUGUGGAGGUUGAUGAAUUGGAGAUUGCAUGCGGAGACGGCACGCAGAAGCCUUUCAUGCCACCGUCUGAUCUCUCAGGCCUGCCGCGAGACACAGAUAGCUCGGCUCCACAAGUUUCCUCCGUUCUAGGAGGCCGUUUUUGGGUCAAGGUCUGGAUCGCUGGCAGGAGUCGGGGACGUCUCUGUGUCUGCGAGGCUUACAUGACUGUCAGUGGUUUGGCACGAGGGCAGCGUUCAAGAAAUGUUCAAGUGUGUGUGUUUGGAUGCAUGUGUGUGUGGCUGAGAUAGCGAUCAUGCUCUGCAGGGCUGGCAGCCGCACCGGGUCGUGGUUCUGGUCCAUAGCUAAUUGUCGAGCUGAUAAACCUGGCCUGGUUUGCUCAGAUACUGUCCGAUGGCAAGCUCUCUGAAUGCUUUUCCUGUGUUGUUGUGGUGCACUGUGUCUCUCUGCCCUAUAAUAGAGACUGAAUGUUAAUGCCCCGUGCCAGUGUUUUAAAGUACAGCACCAUGUGUUUUCAUUUUUGUUAAAGAGAGCCAAUAAGCAUUCAUAGACUGAAAGCAAUGAGCCCCAAGAGGCCAUCUGUUAUAGUGAUUUUACCAUGGUUAAAAAGCAUUCUUAAGCCCAGGCUCAAAGUAAAGAGGUAAAUCACUGCUAAGAUCACGGUAAUACAUGGCUUAUUGCUUUUAUAAAGUAGUUAUAAAGUAGUGCAGCAGCAGCGAUAUCACAAAAUACACCAAUGUUCAAUAAAUAAUUAGUGGGUCUCUCUGAGGCGAAUGUU
ensembl:lncRNA